AAGUUAGCAUAUGUUCUGUUCAGUGUGUGUGUGUGUGUGUGUGUGUGUGUGUGUGUGUGUGUGUGUGUGUGUGUGUGUGUGUGUAUGUAUGUGCCUGGAAGGUAGAGGUGUCUUUUGACCUCUUCCAUUGAGAUAGGGUUUCUCAGAACCUGGAGCUAGCUUAGAGGCCAUCAAGCCCCUAGAGAUCUCAGAAAUUUGAAGGCAGAUCCUUUUGCCUUCAAAACAAGAGCUCUUACCCACUGAGCCAUCCUCCAGCCUGAUUUUAAACUAUUUUUUACUACACAUGAAUUUUGACUUCCAUAUCACAUGAGGUCGGGUAAGAAUUUUCCAUUUGUGCUAUUUUCAAGCAUAGGAUUUGGGAGCUUUUAAAAAUGUAUGUGUUCAGAUUGGAACAGUUCAAGUUACAGUUACAUUUGCUAAGGGACAAAUGCAAAGUUAGACCAGGAAAGGUGAGAAUCCUUCCCGUGACCAAUCUGUGUUCAAUACCUUAUCCACAUCCUCUUCCUUUUCUGUGAAUUGGGGUAUAGUGAUAAGAUGAUGGUUAUAAAGAUCAAAGAACACUUAUGUAAUCAUUACCUAGUCCGCAGGCAGGAAGAGUAAUUAGCCUAAUUGCUGAGUACACAAAAGGCAGUCAUCCAUGACACCUCAGGUAUUUUUUUGGUGGGGACACCAAGAUAAACUUGGUGGCAGCAGUUUUCCACCAGUGGUGUGGGAAAGUGCUUUCCUCUCCUGAGGAAACUGCUCCUUUGCUGCUCGUUCAUCACCAGGGAAGAGUGGAUGCAGUCUCCCACUACUGCAGAUUAUAGAAACUAAUUUGCCUUUGGAGGAAACACAAGGGUUUAUACACACUAAGAGCAAUGUGUGAACCUUGACCUGGGAAAACCCUUCUUGAUCAGAGUCUCCUCUGCCAGGAAGGAACCUCAAUGAUACUGAGCAUCUAUGAACUGCCCCACAGCCGGCAUCACACCUAUUGAUGAGACAGUAGCUUCUUCUUCCUCCUAAGACAAGGAACAAGACAAUGACACCUACUCUCCUCACUUCUAGUACAACGUUCUCCAGACAGUCCCAGCCAGUGCAAAAGGCAAGAGAAAGAAAAUACAUAACGACUAAAACAUGGCCUCUUGAGUCAGGGGUGGUGGUAACACCUGUAAUUCCAGCACUUGACAGGAAGUUCAAAGCAAACUUGAGGCCAUCCUAGACCACAUAGUGAAUUCCAAGCAAGACCUUAUCUCGAAUAAACAAACAAAAUAUGUCUUUCAGCAAAUUAUGCUGUGAUACAUGAGCAAAACAUAUGAAAGAAGAAAAUGAAGUCUCCAAAGCAAACUUAAUGGCCUAAACAUAAGCAGCUAUGGUGUACGGUGGCACAUGCAUGUAAUCUAACCAUGCAGGAGUUUGAGGCCAGCCUGUAUUAUAGGGUGAAACCCUGUCUACUUAAAAAUAAAAAUAAAAUAAAGCCUGAGCUGGGUGUGGUGGCUUAGGCAGGCAGGCAGGUGGGACUCUGUGAGUUUGAGGCCAGGUUGGUCUGAGACAUUCCAAAAUGAGAAAUACACUCACCUUGUUUUUUCAAUUUUGUCCCAACUUCAGGCAGACUACAGUAAACAACAUCUCCCAAAGCUUCCUGAAAUACAAAAACAACAUAAAAAUGUCUAAGAAGUUGACCCCACCAGAAAACAGGAAAGAGACAAACACCUCAUUGCCUAAAUUUUUGUCUAUGUAUUUCACACAUGGGGGGCUACAUUCUUUGCUUUUCUGUACAACCCUUUAAACAUGUAAAAUGGGCCAGGCAUGGUAGCAUAUACCCAAAAUCUAGCACUUGGGGGACAGAUGUAGAAGGAUUAAGUCCAUCGCACAAAAAGAAUAAAAUCAGGUAAGAUUUGGUACACCUCUGGUCAGAGGCUGAGGAAGGGGGACCCAAGUUCAAGAUCCACCUUGUCUAUAGAAUUGGUUCAAGGUCAGCUAAGGCACCUUAGCCAGAGCCUAUCUCAAAAUGAAAAGUAAGAAAAGGCUAGAGAUGUAGCUCAGUGGUGGAGAACCUGCCUCGCAUGUGUAUGACCCAGGGAGCAAUCACAGUACUGCAUAAAUAAUACUUUAAAAGCAAAAACACGCGGAAGUCUGAGGAUAACUUGCAGGAGUCGGUUCUUUCCCCCUACUGCGUGCAUCCCGAGGAUCGAACUCGGGUUGUUAGGCUUGGUGGCAAGCACCCUUACUCACUGAGUCAUCUCAGCAGCUCUAAAAAUAAUCUUUUUAAAGAAACAAGCCACCCGCCAGAUCUGACCUCUAGACUGGAGUAACCCCAGGCACAAACCACAUGCUCCAAACAAGACUACAAGGUGUUCUGAGCACCCUGUGCUUUCCACCUCUGCAGUUUGAGGCCAUGACCCAAACUGCACUGCCUACUCAUUCAUCCGACAGUGGUCCUCACAGACCUGCCUCCCGAGGCACCACUGCACCAGGUGACUGACCCACCUUCCUCACGCCUCCCAGAUGGACUGUCUCCCGUACGUUUUAUAAGUGGCUGUCGUACAGGUGACUCCCCGUGUAGAUGAACUACGUGUGCUGGGCCCCCUCAAUAGAUAUACAGGGAUGCCAGUGAAGGUACCAGGAACCCGGAGGUCUUCCCAACAGUUCUGUCCUGCCUCAGAUGCACACAUGCAUCCAGUUGAAACCACUGGCCAUGCAUCUGCUUGGCUUCCACUGAGAAGUAUCUCAGUAUGAGGGUAGUGACAUGGGGUUAUUAAUAUUAUUAACAGAGAAAAGGCCAACUAAAUAAAAGUCUCUCUUUGUGUCA